GAGACGCUUCACUGAACUGCUAAAUCAAUCCACCGGGCCUAAACGUCCGGGCUUCUC
rnacentral:tRNA from 1 species